rnacentral:rRNA from 1 species
UACGUAGGGAGCAAGCGUUGUUCGGAUUUACUGGGGGUAAAGGGCGCGUAGGGGGCAUGUUAAGUCAGCUGUGAAAUCUCCGAGCUUAACUCGGAACUGUCAGCUGAUACUGAUGUGCUAGAGUGCAGAAGGGGCAAUCGGAAUUCUUGGUGUAGCGGUGAAAUGCGUAGAUAUCAAGAGGAACACCUGAGGUGAAGACGGGUUGCUGGGCUGACACUGACGCUGAGGCGCGAAAGCCAGGGGAGCAAACGGG